UACAGAGGGGGCAAGCGUUGUUCGGAAUUACUGGCGUAAAGGGCGCGUAGGCGGCCUGCUAAGUCGAACGUGAAAUCCCCGGCUCAACCCGGGAACUGCGUCCGAUACUGACAGGCUUGAAUCCGGGAGAGGGAUGUGGAAUUCCAGGUGUAGCGGUGAAAUGCGUAGAUAUCUGGAGGAACACCGGUGGCGAAGGCGGCAUCCUGGACCGGUAUUGACGCUGAUGCGCGAAAGCCAGGGGAGCAAAGCGGG
rnacentral:rRNA from 1 species